UACGUAGGGGGCUAGCGUUGUCCGGAAUCAUUGGGCGUAAAGAGCGUGUAGGCGGCUCGGUAAGUCCGCUGUGAAAGUCCAGGGCUCAACCCCUGGAAUGCCAGUGGAAACUGUCGAGCUAGAGUCCGGAAGAGGCGAGUGGAAUUCCUGGUGUAGCGGUGAAAAUGCGCAGAUAUCAGGAGGAACACCAAUGGCGAAGGCAGCUCGCUGGGACGGUACUGACGCUGAGACGCGAAAGCGUGGGGAGCAAACAGG
rnacentral:rRNA from 1 species